rnacentral:rRNA from 1 species
ACCAUGCAAGUCGAGCGGUAACAGAUCCAGCUUGCUGGAUGCUGACGAGCGGCGGACGGGUGAGUAAUGCAUAGGAAUCUGCCCGAUAGUGGGGGAUAACCUGGGGAAACCCAGGCUAAUACCGCAUACGUCCUACGGGAGAAAGGGGGCUCCGGCUCCCGCUAUGGGAUGAGCCUAUGUCGGAUUAGCUAGUUGGUGAGGUAACGGCUCACCAAGGCCACGAUCCGUAGCUGGUCUGAGAGGAUGAUCAGCCACAUCGGGACUGAGACACGGCCCGAACUCCUACGGGAGGCAGCAGUGGGGAAUAUUGGACAAUGGGGGAAACCCUGAUCCAGCCAUGCCGCGUGUGUGAAGAAGGCCCUCGGGUUGUAAAGCACUUUCAGCGAGGAAGAACGCCUAGCGGUUAAUACCCGCUAGGAAAGACAUCACUCGCAGAAGAAGCACCGGCUAACUCCGUGCCAGCAGCCGCGGUAAUACGGAGGGUGCAAGCGUUAAUCGGAAUUACUGGGCGUAAAGCGCGCGUAGGUGGCUUGAUAAGCCGGUUGUGAAAGCCCCGGGCUCAACCUGGGAACGGCAUCCGGAACUGUCAAGCUAGAGUGCAGGAGAGGAAGGUAGAAUUCCCGGUGUAGCGGUGAAAUGCGUAGAGAUCGGGAGGAAUACCAGUGGCGAAGGCGGCCUUCUGGACUGACACUGACACUGAGGUGCGAAAGCGUGGGUAGCAAACAGGAUUAGAUACCCUGGUAGUCCACGCCGUAAACGAUGUCGACCAGCCGUUGGGUGCCUAGCGCACUUUGUGGCGAAGUUAACGCGAUAAGUCGACCGCCUGGGGAGUACGGCCGCAAGGUUAAAACUCAAAUGAAUUGACGGGGGCCCGCACAAGCGGUGCAGCAUGU